rnacentral:rRNA from 1 species
AGGGAAUCUUCCGCAAUGGGCGAAAGCCUGACGGAGCAACGCCGCGUGAGUGAAGAAGGAUUUCGGUUCGUAAAGCCCUGUUGUUAGGGAAGAAUGAUUGUGUAGUAACUAUACACAGUAGAGACGGUACCUAACCAGAAAGCCACGGCUAACUACGUGCCAGCAGCCGCGGUAAUACGUAGGUGGCAAGCGUUGUCCGGAAUUAUUGGGCGUAAAGCGCGCGCAGGUGGUUUAAUAAGUCUGAUGUGAAAGCCCACGGCUCAACCGUGGAGGGUCAUUGGAAACUGUUAAACUUGAGUGCAGGAGAGAAAAGUGGAAUUCCUAGUGUAGCGGUGAAAUGCGUAGAGAUUAGGAGGAACACCAGUGGCGAAGGCGGCUUUUUGGCCUGUAACUGACACUGAGGCGCGAAAGCGUGGGGAGCAAACAGGAUUAGAUACCCUGGUAGUCCACGCCGUAAACGAUGAGUGCUAAGUGUUGGUCUCAUAAGAGAUCAGUGCUGCAGCUAACGCAUUAAGCACUCCGCCUGGGGAGUACGACCGCAAGGUUG